GAUGAAGAACGCAGCGAAAUGCGAUAAGUAGUGUGAAUUGCAGAAUUCAGUGAAUCAUCGAAUCUUUGAACGCACAUUGCGCCCCUUGGUAUUCCAUGGGGCAUGCCUGUUCGAGCGUCAUUUGUACCUUCAAGCUUUGCUUGGUGUCGGGUGUUUGUCUCGCCUCCGCGUGUAGACUCGCCUCAAAACAAUUGGCAGCCGGCGUAUUGAUUUCGGAGCGCAGUACAUCUCGCGCUUUGCACUCACAACGACGACGUCCAAAAGUACAUUUUUACACUCUUGACCUCGGAUCAGGUAGGGAUAUCCGCUGAACUUAAGCAUAUCAAUAAGCGGAGGA
rnacentral:misc_RNA from 1 species